GAACGCCUUGACUACACUCUGAGAUUUACCAAACCUUUGCAGUGGUUCAUUUCAAUUUUUGUACAAGGCAGAUUAAUCUAAUACUGGCCCUCUACUCACCGCGACACCUCAGCCUCAGGCUAUAUGGGUGUAGUGGUCCAUGAAUAAGGCCUACAU
rnacentral:snoRNA from 1 species